rnacentral:tRNA from 1 species
GCCUGGGUGGCUCAGUCGGUUGAGCGUCCGACUUCGGCUCGGGUCAUGAUCUCACAGUCUGUGAGUUCGAGCCCCACGUCGGGCU